UGUGUGUGUGUGUGUGUGUGUGUGUGUGUGUGUGUAUAUAUAUAUAUAUAUAUAUAUACACACAUACAUACAUACACACACACACACACC